CAUGCGGUCCACGAGACGCUUCACUUGCUGAAGUAAGUAAAGUGGCGCGCGGGUGAGUAACGCGUGGGCAAUCUACCUCCGAAUCGGGGAUAACCCCGCGAAAGCGGAGCUAAUACCGGAUAAUAUCUUUUUUUCCUUGUGAAAUCUGGAUCAAGGGUGGCCUCUACAUGUAAGCUACCGUUUGGAGAUGAGCUCGCGUACCAUUAGCUUGUUGGUAGGGUAACGGCCUACCAAGGCGACGAUGGUUAGCUGGUCUGAGAGGAUGAUCAGCCACACUGGAACUGACACACGGUCCAGACUCCUACGGGAGGCAGCAGUGAGGAAUUUUGCGCAAUGGGGGAAACCCUGACGCAGCAACGCCGCGUGAGUGAUGAAGGCUUUCGGGUCGUAAAACUCUGUCAAGUGGGAAGAAACUGUUUGAUGCCAAUACCAUCAUACACUGACGGUACCACUGAAGGAAGCACCGGCUAACUCCGUGCCAGCAGCCGCGGUAAUACGGGGGGUGCAAGCGUUAUUCGGAUUUAUUGGGCGUAAAGAGCGCGUAGGCGGUCUUUUAAGUCAGAUGUGAAAGCCCGGGGCUUAACCCCGGAAGUGCAUUCGAUACUGCCUGGCUAGAGUAUGGUAGAGGGAAGUGGAAUUUCCGGUGUAGCGGUGAAAUGCGUAGAUAUCGGAAGGAACACCAGUGGCGAAAGCGACUUCCUGGGCCAAUACUGACGCUGACAUGCGGUCCCAUGCGGUCCCAUGCGGUCCCAUGCGGUCCCAUGCGGUCCCCGUA
rnacentral:rRNA from 1 species